UCGAGAAUCUUCGGCAAUGGGCGAAAGCCUGACCGAGCGACGCCGCGUGUGGGAUGAAGGCCUUCGGGUUAUAAACCACUGUCGUAGAGGAGGAAAUCAACGGGGGUUCUCCCCCGUAGUUGACCUAUUCUAGGAGGAAGGACGGGCUAAGUACGUGCCAGCAGCCGCGGUAAUACGUACCGUCCAAACGUUAUUCGGAAUUACUGGGCUUAAAGGGUACGUAGGCGGCCCUGUCAGUCGGGUGUGAAAUCCCACGGCUCAACCGUGGAACUGCGCCCGAUACUGCAGGGCUUGAGGGAGACAGAGGUAAGCGGAACUGAUGGUGGAGCGGUGAAAUGCGUUGAUAUCAUCAGGAACACCAGUGGCGAAAGCGGCUUACUGGGUCUCUUCUGACGCUGAGGUACGAAAGCUAGGGGAGCGAAGGG
rnacentral:rRNA from 1 species